GACAUCAUUGUAGUGAAAUCAAAUGCCUGUUUUUCACAGAUGACCUGGUAUUACUGUCUCCAACCAAAGAAAGGCUACAACAAGAACUUGACCUUCUACACAAUUUCUC